AUUGAACGCUGGCGGCAGGCCUAACACAUGCAAGUCGAGCGGAAACAACGGGAGCUUGCUCCCGGUUGUCGAGCGGCGGACGGGUGAGUAAUGCGUAGGAAUCUACCCGGUAGAGGGGGAUAGCCCGAGGAAACUCGGAUUAAUACCCCAUGAUCCCCAAGGGGCAAAGAGGGCCUCUCCAUGGAAGCUCUCGCUAUCGGAUGAGCCUGCGUCGGAUUAGCUUGUUGGUGGGGUAAAGGCCUACCAAGGCUGUGAUCCGUAGCUGGUCUGAGAGGAUGAUCAGCCACACUGGGACUGAGACACGGCCCAGACUCCUGCGGGAGGCAGCAGUGGGGAAUAUUGGACAAUGGGCGCAAGCCUGAUCCAGCCAUGCCGCGUGUGUGAAGAAGGCCUUCGGGUUGUAAAGCACUUUAGGUAGUGAGGAAAGCAGCGGGACGAAUAAUCCCGCAUGCCUGACGUUAGCUACAGAAUAAGCACCGGCUAACUUCGUGCCAGCAGCCGCGGUAAUACGAAGGGUGCGAGCGUUAAUCGGAAUUACUGGGCGUAAAGCGCGCGCAGGCGGUUACGCAAGUCGGGUGUGAAAGUCCCGGGCUCAACCUGGGAACUACAUUCGAAACUGCGAGACUGGAGUACAAGAGAGGAGGGUAGAAUUCACGGUGUAGCGGUGAAAUGCGCUGAGAUCGUGAGGAAUACCAGUGGCGAAGGCGGCCCUCUGGCUUGAUACUGACGCUAAAGCGCGAGAGCGUGGGGAGCAAACAGGAUUAGAUACCCUGGUAGUCCACGCCGUAAACGAUGAGAACUGGCUGUCGGGGAGUUUAUCUCCUUGGUGGCGCAGCUAACGCGUUAAGUUCUCCGCCUGGGGAGUACGGUCGCAAGGCUAAAACUCAAAUGAAUUGACGGGGGCCCGCACAAGCGGUGGAGCAUGUGGUUUAAUUCGAUGCAACGCGAAAAACCUUACCAGCCCUUGACAUCUUCGGAAGAGAGCAGAGAUGCUUUCGUGCCUUCGGGAGCCGAAUGACAGGUGCUGCAUGGCUGUCGUCAGCUCGUGUCGUGAGAUGUUGGGUUAAGUCCCGUAACGAGCGCAACCCCUGUACCUAGUUGCCAGCACUUCGGGUGGGGACUUUAGGUAGACUGCCGGUGACAAGCCGGAGGAAGGUGGGGACGACGUCAGUCAUCAUGGCCCUUACGGGCUGGGCUACACACGUGCUACAAUGGGAGGCACAGAAGGUUGCAAAAGCGCGAGCUUGAGCCAAUCCCAAAAAACCUCUCGUAGUCCGGAUCGCAGUCUGCAACUCGACUGUGUGAAGCAGGAAUCGCUAGUAAUCGCAAAUCAGAAUGUUGCGGUGAAUACGUACUCGGGCCUUGUACACACCGCCCGUCAGACCAUGGGAGUGGGUUGCACCAGAAGUGGCUAGCUUAACUUUCGAGAGGGCGGUCACCACGGUGUGGCUCAUGACUGGGGU
rnacentral:rRNA from 1 species